rnacentral:tRNA from 1 species
GCAUCGAUGGUUCAGUGGUAGAAUGCUGCUCGCCUGCCACGCGGGCGGCCCGGGUUCGAUUCCCGGUCGAUGCA